rnacentral:rRNA from 1 species
UACAGAGGUCUCAAGCGUUUGUUCGGAUUCAUUGGGCGUAAAGGGUGCGUAGGUGGCGCUGUAAGUCGGGUGUGAAAUCCUGAGGCUUAACCUCGGAACUGCAUUCGAUACUGCGGUGCUUGAGGACUGGAGAGGAGACUGGAAUUCAUGGUGUAGCAGUGAAAUGCGUAGAGAUCAUGAGGAAGACCAGUGGCGAAGGCGGGUCUCUGGACCGAGUUCUGACAUGAG